UGGCUGCACCGAGCCAGUUUCCACGGCCCUCGCCGUCUGAUGCUGCUCGCGUGUCUUACAUUUGGCUCUGGGAUGGAAAAGCGCAUGAUUUACAGUUCAUCAUACUAUCGUGGGGUUUUGUUUUUUUUCUGUUUUGUUUUUUUUCUUUUCCUUUUAAUCAUUGCUGCAGCCGCUUCACCACAUGGGAAUGAUCUGGCCCCACAGUAGCGCCGAGCUGUAGCCCUACUUGCGUUGUUUACCUCUGCGCAGGGCAGCCCGGGUUAAUGUUGGGGGGGGGGCGCUCCCACCAGCAACCCCCCCUCGCCUUCUCAUUCCUGAGAAGAAGUCCACGGAGGAACAGUGCUCCUCUUGGUACCGCCGAGUGCUGAACAAGCUCCGCAGAAUGCAACGCAGAGUAAUAUUUUUUUAAUCAGUUUUGCAUUUCACAUGUUCUUCCCAAGCCACAGUAACUAGCGGGAAACUUUUAGGCAAAAAGUUCGGCUCUCUGGGCGGAGAGAACCCACUUUAAGAGUUUAUAGGAGGCCGAUACGCGCAGGUACCAUGGAUCUUGUGGUGUUGGUGGCAUUCAGCUCCUGGUUGGCCCCUGCACUCGCUUCAGCACCAGAGGACGACAAAGACUAUGACAGUGCUUUUCAUUACGAUUAUGAAUCUCUGAGAAUCGGUGGCCUGGUUUUCGCAGUGGUCCUGUUCCUCAUGGGUAUCGUCCUCAUUGCCAGCCGGAAAUGUACCUGUUCAAAGAAAGACAAGUCGAGGUCCAGGGGUCCCGGUGUGGAAUCGGGUGUUCCGAGGGUCAUCUGAAACUCUUUCUACAGCUAAGUAGACACAGAGGCAAGGAGCAGUGGAGAUCUGUGUUCCUGACCGGUGCCGCUAGGUGGCAGCAAAUACCAUGAUCACAGCUGAAGACAAUCGUUCACGAGCACACAAAGCCUCCCUUAAUUUCAAAGUGUUAGUAUGCUCACCUUUUUUUUCUUUUUAAUGUUUUUAUCAUCGAUAACUUUCACUAAAUAUUGUAACUUUAUUACAUGGUAGCAACAGUGUGAUUAUCAUUUGUAUUUUUUGUGACUUCCAAACUGACACCAUAUAAUUAAACAAAUGUUUGAAAAGGUU